rnacentral:rRNA from 1 species
AGAGUUUGAUUAUGGCUCAGGAUGAACGCUAGCGAUAGGCCUAACACAUGCAAGUCGAGGGGCAGCACAUGAGUAGCAAUACGAUGGUGGCGACCGGCGCACGGGUGAGUAACACGUAUGCAACCUACCUUUAACAGGGGAAUAACCCGUUGAAAAACGGACUAAUACUCCAUAACACAGGGGUCCCGCAUGGGAAUAUUUGUUAAAGAUUAAUCGGUUGAAGAUGGGCAUGCGUUCCAUUAGCUUGUUGGUGAGGUAACGGCUCACCAAGGCCACGAUGGAUAGGGGAACUGAGAGGUUUAUCCCCCACACUGGAACUGAGACACGGUCCAGACUCCUACGGGAGGCAGCAGUGAGGAAUAUUGGUCAAUGGAGGCAACUCUGAACCAGCCAAGUCCGCGUGAAGGAUGAAGGUCUUAUGGAUUGUAAACUUCUUUUGCAAGGGAAUAAAGUGGGGGACGUGUCCUCCUUUGCAUGUACCUUGCGAAUAAGGAUCGGCUAACUCCGUGCCAGCCGCCGC